rnacentral:rRNA from 1 species
CCUACGGGGGGCUGCAGUGAGGAAUAUUGGUCAAUGGGCGUAAGCCUGAACCAGCCAAGUCGCGUGAGGGAUGAAGGUUCUAUGGAUCGUAAACCUCUUUUAUAAGGGAAUAAAGUGCGGGACGUGUCCCGUUUUGUAUGUACCUUAUGAAUAAGGAUCGGCUAACUCCGUGCCAGCAGCCGCGGUAAUACGGAGGAUCCGAGCGUUAUCCGGAUUUAUUGGGUUUAAAGGGUGCGUAGGCGGCCUUUUAAGUCAGCGGUGAAAGUCUGUGGCUCAACACCGGCCUGCCGUUGAAACUGGUCUUCGUGAGUGAGCGAGAAGUAUGCGGAAUGCGUGGUGUAGCGGUGAAAUGCAUAGAUAUCACGCAGAACUCCGAUUGCGAAGGCAGCAUACCGGCGCUCAACUGACGCUGAGGCACGAAAGCGUGGGGAUCGAACAGGAUUAGAUACCCUAGUAGUC